UGAUGAGACUGGUGUGAUGGAUAAUCUUCUAGAAGCCCUGCAAUCAGGUGCAGCAUUCAGAGACCGUAGAAAGCGGAUUCCGAGGAACUCAGAUAACAGACGAGUACCUUUGGAAAGGUCACGCUCUCGCCACAAUGGAGGAACCUUGUCAUCUAAGUGAUUGCUGAUACCAAAGAAUAUGAAAAUAUUUAAGUAAACAAAAUCAGAUAAUUUGAGAAGAACAAAACAUUCACUCAAGGGUUGGAGUCAACUAAAUGCAUUUCUGUAAAGUUCAGCCAACCUGGAUAAAGUAGUGUGUGUUUGUAAACAGUACUCCUCCCACAAUUAUACUAAUUUGAGCACAACUGUCAUGGUUAUAAUAUUACAUUUACACUUAAGGGUAAUGCUAUAUAUUAGUUGUCAUUGUGUAACCUGGCUCUGAAGAGGAAAGUAUUAGAAAUUGAAGAGUUCUAAGGCUUUCAAAAACAUUCAAUCUGUCAAAAAAUUUAAAUCUGAUAUGGCUGGGUCACGCCGGCUCUACUCCCCAAAACAAGAAGAGUAAGAAGCAAGAGAACAAAAGAAAUAGAAUUAUUUAGCAUCUGCUUCUACCAUUUAUUAUGUAUCUAAAAGGAAAAGAUCUAGAAAGAUAUUCAUGCUAGUGUUUUGAAAAGGGGCUCAUAUUGCCCACCAUUUGGGGAUUUCAACAAACAUACUGUUCUACCCCAGCCAAGUUAUUUAGAAUCUUGUCACAAGUGAAAACUGAUGGAUUCAAUUACUUUGGCUGAAAGUAAACUUAUCAUUAGUCUAGUUUUCCAGCAUGAUAUUGCAGGCACUUAUCAUUGCUAAAAAUAAACCAAAGUUUAAAGAAUUAGUUAGGGAAAAUGAUUUAAACCUUAAAGAAGUAUUUUCUAAUUAUGCAUAGAUAUCUAGUUUAUACUAAUACUUUCUAUUGCUAUUUUAAGAGGAAAAACCUACAUUUUAAUGUUUAUGCUAGAGAUGAACCUGAAAAUUCUAAUACCUUUAUUUAGAUUUUAAAGUAAAACACUGAUUCAUAUUUUGUGGUGGUUUUUUUCUCCCUAUUCUUUCUCCCUUGACCCCCUUGAAGGGAGUGGAGAGAGUUCUAAAAGACUUGAGAGGAAACAGAUUUCUUAUCAAGGAGGCAAUAAAAGGUGAAUUGUUUUUCUCCCUUUUAACUCCCCUUGCCUACUUGAGUGAUCUGAAGAAGAAAUUCUAUGUAUGUAUGUAUAUAUGUUUGCAUAUAUUUAUAUCUCUCUAUAUAUCUUUGCAGUGAUUCCAUAUCUCAGUAACAAGUGAAUUUCUCAGUCAUCAUUAUAUUUACUUACUUUCUAUUAACAAAUUUAACAAUGUUGCUAGAAUAACUCUCAGAAGGAAAACAAGCUCAACAUUUUUUAAGUAGUUGAGAGAGUGAAAGUUUUACUUAACAUGUCUGUAAGUUGAAAAUACAUGUUGAAAUAAUUGCUAUAUGUUCUCUAGAGUAUAAUUUUAAGACUAAUUCAUGCAGAAUAUUGUGAUUACUGUAAAAGAUUUUUGUAUCUAUAUUUCUUAUAUAGAAAAUCCUAUUUUUACUUCUCUAAAGAGCAUUAUAGACUUUUGCACCCAAGAACAAUGGCUAGUUUAAAAAGUCACCAUCUGAGAUAAUAUAAACAAGUGACCACUAGUUCUGAUUCUUAACUCUGGAGUUGUUACAUUAGAGAAAUCAAGUAGUACCAAUAUCUGAAAUUUUCCAUUUUUCUUAUCUAAAAGUAUACAUGCACAUACUUGCAUGAACACAUGCACAUAGACACACAAACAUAUUUAAGGACAUAUCAAUUUUGUGCACCCUUUUUAUUAACAACUACCACAAAGGUUAGGUUCUAUUAAUUUAUGUAAAUAUCUAUUGCAUUUUGAAUUCACAAAGUCUUUUAUGAGGUCUUUGUGGUAUUUCAUAUUUGAGGCUCUUAAUAACUUUUCAUGUUAUAGAAAAACACCUCAAAUUGGGGGUAUUUGCCAUGCCAUAUUAUCAAGCUGGUCAAGGUAGAAAUACUGAUGUUUAUAUCACCUUUUCUGGAUGUGAACUUGCCUUAUUUUCUAGCUUGUGAAGAAGUAAGAAUGGAGCACUAUUAUUGAUAAAUUAUGUAUUUGUAUUUCAAGCAAUUCCACAUGCUUUUCACAAACAUCAAAAGCCUUUCAGAGCCUAAUUAAAAUAAAACUUUUGAU